rnacentral:rRNA from 1 species
CAAUAGCGUAUAUUAAAGUUGUUGCAGUUAAAAAGCUCGUAGUUGGAUUUGUGGCGUACGGUGUGUUCCGGGCACUUGUUGUCUGAGUAACCUGCUGUUGCCAUCCUUGGGUGGAACCUGUGUGGCAUUAGGUUGUCGUGCAGGGGAUGCCCCUCAUUUACUGUGAAAAAAUUAGAGUGUUCAAAGCAGGCUUAUGCCGUUGAAUAUAUUAGCAUGGAAUAAUGAGAUAGGACUUUUUUGCUAUUUUGUUGGUUUGCGCAAAGAGGUAAUGAUUAAUAGGGACAGUUGGGGGUAUUCGUAUUCCAUUGUCAGAGGUGAAAUUCUUGGAUUUUUGGAAGACGAACUACUGCGAAAGCAUUUACCAAGGAUGUUUUCAUUAA